CAUUCAUCAAGAGUUAGCCGAGGGUAUUGGCCCGAUGAAGCUACGGCAACCACCGCGUAAUGCGAACGGUGCCAAUUCCAACAGGAAUUUCCUGGGAGAUGAGGA
rnacentral:ncRNA from 2 species